rnacentral:lncRNA from 1 species
AGUUAAAGAUGGCUUCUGAGAAUAGAUGAGCAUUUAUCCCUGAUGAAUGACACUUAGCCUAAUUUACAGAAAUAAUCAAGUGAGAGCAUGGAUUUCAUUUCCAGAGUCAAAGAAAGAAGUUUACCUGGCUAAGGCAUGACACCGCUUCCCUUUCAGAUUCCGGUGCAGUCCUCUGACCAUAUUGGGAAGGAUAUGUAAAAUGAUACGAGUUUCAGGGAAUAAGAAUGGGGGUGAGAGGAAUCACUGAGGAUGCCCAAGGACAAAGCAGCCGGAACAAGACAGAGUUUCUCUUGUUGCCCAGGCUGGAGUGCAAUGGCGUGAUCUUAGCUCAUCGCAACCUCUGCCUCCCAGGUUCAAACAAUUCUCCUGCCUCAGUCUCCUGAGUAGCUGGAAUUACAGUUUAUAGCUCAGCAGUCCCAAGAUGGCCGAAUAGGAACAGCUCCAGUCUACAGCUCCCAGCGUGAGUGAUGCAGAAGAUGGGUGACUUCUGCAUUUCCAACCAAGGUACCGGGUUUAUCUCACUGGGGCUUGUUGGACAGUGGGUGCAAUCCACGAAGUGUGAGCCAAAGCAGGGCGGGGCAUCACCUCACCCAGGAAGUGCAAGAGGUCGGGGAAUUCCCUUUCCUAGCUGAGGGAAGCCAUGACAGAUGGUACCUGGAAAAUCGGGACACUCCCAUCCUGAUACUGCACUUUUCCAAAGGUCUUAGCAAAUGGCACACCAGGAGAUUAUAUCCCACGCCUGGCUCAGAGGGUCCCACGCCCACGGAGCCUCGCUCACUGCUAGCACAGCAGUCUGAGACUGAACUGCAAGGUGGCAAUGAGGCUGGGGGAGGGGGGUCCACCAUUGCUGACGUUUGAGUAGGUAAACAAAACACUCCAGCCUGGGCGACGGACUGAGACUCUGUCUC